UACGAAGGGGGCUAGCGUUGCUCGGAAUCACUGGGCGUAAAGCGCACGUAGGCGGAUUGCUAAGGCAGGGGGGAAAUCCUGGAGCUCAACUCCAGAACUGCCUUUGAUACUGGCGAUCUUGAGUCCGGGAGAGGUGAGGGGAACUGCGAGUGUAGAGGUGAAAUUCGUAGAUAUUCGCAAGAACACCAGUGGCGAAGGCGGCUCACUGGCCCGGUACUGACGCUGAGGUGCGAAAGCGUGGGGAGCAAACAGG
rnacentral:rRNA from 1 species